rnacentral:misc_RNA from 1 species
AGAGGGGCCAGUGGGCGGAGUUUUGCGGCUACCUGAUCACACCCAAAGGCCUCAUCAAAGACCCCCUCAAGCUUCACGCUUCCCUGGAACUCGCCAAAGCCCAAAAGAAAGCAGGAGUCAAGGAUGCAAUCACCAACGUCGUGGCCAACUACAGCCUCGACGCCAAGCUAGCCUACUCCCUCGGCGACGACCUCCAAGACCUCCUCUCACCACACCAAGCACACCUCCACCAGGUAACGGUUCGUGAUUUAGUUAAGUUCGGUGGUUCACCCUUCCUUAACUCCGAUUAACAUGGACGUGAUCCUCUCAACACUAACAUCCAACAACUUUCAAAGAACUAAUACCCCCAUCUCCAAACCCCUCGUAGUCCACGCGGUGGCUGGCGCGGGCAAAACCACACUCAUCCAGAACCUUCUCCCCAACCACCCGAACCUCUCAG